AACGUAGGAGACGAACGUUAUCCGGAUUUACUGGGCGUAAAGGGCGUGUAGGCGGUUUGUUAAGUCUGGCGUGAAAGCUCUCGGCUAAACCGGGAGAGGUCGUUGGAUACUGGCGAGCUAGAGGAUGGUAGAGGCGUGUGGAAUUUCGGGUGUAGUGGUGAAAUGCGUAGAUAUCUGGAGGAAUACCGGUGGCGAAGGCGGCAUCCUGGACCGGCAUUGACGCUGAGGAGCGAAAGCUAGGGGAGCAAACGGG
rnacentral:rRNA from 1 species